AUGUAAGCCAAAGUGGUGGCGCAAUUCCUAAAGAUACCUUUAUAGCCGUUUGCACAAUCGAGAAGGAAAAUUCACGACUCAACAGAUUGCUAUAAGAGAGGCGUUUUUCAGAAGUUGGGAUCUUAGUAAUUGAUGAACUUCACAUGGUAUUUUGAAUUUGGCAUUUUUGAGAAUUAUGAUGCAAAAAAUACAUUCUUUUAAUCAUUUUGUUUGGCAGGUUGGAGAUCAGCACAGGGGCUAUCUUUUCGAACUUAUGCUGACAAAACUUUGGUAUGGAGCUGGUGACCCCACUCAUGAUCUUCAAAUUGUUGGGAUAAGUGCCACCUUGCCCAAUGUCAAUUUUGUUGCUGAUUGGCUUCAAGUAAGUUGUAGAAAACAUUGGUCAUUCUCAUGCAUAUCAAGAAUCGGAAAACACUACCUUAUUAAGUGGCUGAAUGCUUUAUAUCUAAUUAGUUUUUUAGGCAAUUUUAUACUAGACAGAUUUUGUCACUGUGGUAUCUAUCAAUGAGCAAUAAGUGAAAAACACAAAGGAAAACUUAUUCUCAUCUUCCAUGUUAGCAGCAAGAAAACAAUUUUCUUAAUUUUUCGUGUUGAGAUCAUAGCAAAGAAAUAUUUGUAUGGUGGACACUUGGCAGCAUUGAAAUUUGUGGAGUCGAUGCUAACUUUGUUAAUCUAUAGAAGAUAAAACAAUCUCAUUAUAAUUUCAGCUUUAUGUUAAAAUAUUGUUGGAUUUCCUCAUUCUCUUGUCAACAUGUUGCUGAUGCAGGUGUGUGUUUUCUAUCUGCUUCUUCGAGCCCUUGAUGCUGUUGGUAUGCUCUGUUACCUUUAUGUGUAGGUUCUAUUAUUUUACAUCACUUGUAGCUUCUUUAGUUUUUGUACAAAUUAGGCAGCCUACUAACACCUUUGGGCCCCAUUUAUUAUUAGGAUAUGACAUAGGAAAUGGUAUUUUAUGCAUUUGACUUAACUAGGACUCGGACUUAGUCAAUGAGACAAAAAUUGCAAUUUUUUUCCUACUUGGAAAGCUGGGACAUGGACUCCUGUCAAUCAUGUCCUGUGUAAAAAACACAACCUUAAUGUACAAGGUCUUUGUGAUCCACCUAUUUAAUAAAAAUGACAAUAAUCCUUACUUACAUGUUGUUUCUUUUUAACUUAAUGGACAUAAAGGGGACACAACUUAAACUUGUAUGCUAUAUAUGUAUGUUUCUUCUUGACUUAACUGAGAAAGUAAUAGAAAUGGCUUUUCCUUUUGAUCAGAGGAUGAUACCUAGAUAGAUACUAUAGUGAAGAUACUAAUUUUGAUGGAAUUUCAUCGCCAUAUCGAUGAUCCUGAUUGGAAUUUCUCAUGAGGUACAAAGGAAUACAUAAUCCUCAUGGAGCAGUUUCAUCAUGUUUCAACUGCCUUUUUGGAGCUCAAUGGCAUGUUUCUUUUACACAUAACUAUUGAUUGUGGAAUCUUAGGUGCUUUAUGUUCUGAUACUAGUAUUGGUCAAGGGGGUACUAUUGCAUGGAAAGUGCUUCAAUACACACUUGCUUACAACAAUGUACUCAAACUAAGGAAAUAAGAAAAGACACAAUGGAAAUUGGAAACGUUUCAGAGCUGCUUCAAACAGCUUAAUGAUGAGUCACUGAAACAAGAAGGUGCCCCUUUAUAGCAAUGUAGUAUUAGGUUAUAUAGUUAGGGAAAACCUCUUAUUAACAAUGUACAAUCAGAUCCCUUUAAUAUCAAUGUAUUACAAUUUUUUGACAUGAUGUUAUUGGAUGAAAUUGAUUGUUUUGGUAUAUAUAUCUUUCUA